rnacentral:rRNA from 1 species
GAUGAACGCUGGCGGCGUGCCUAAUACAUGCAAGUCGAGCGAACAGACGAGGAGCUUGCUCCUCUGACGUUAGCGGCGGACGGGUGAGUAACACGUGGGUAACCUACCUAUAAGACUGGGAUAACUUAGGGAAACCGGAGCUAAUACAGGAUAAUAUAUUGAACCGCAUGGUUCAAUAGUGAAAGACGGUUUUGCUGUCACUUAUAGAUGGAUCCGCGCCGCAUUAGCUAGUUGGUAAGGUAACGGCUUACCAAGGCAACGAUGCGUAGCAGACCGGAGAGGGUGAGCGGCCACACUGGAACUGUGACACGGUCCAGACUACUACGGGAGGCAGCAGUAGGGAAUCUUCCGCAAUGCGCGAAAGCCUGACGGAGCAACGCCGCGUGAGUGAUGAAGUUCUUCGGAUCUUAAAACUCUGUUAUUAGGGAAGAACAAAUGUGUAAGUAACUAUGCACGUCUUGACGGUACCUAAUCAGAAAGCCACGGCUAACUACGUG